rnacentral:misc_RNA from 1 species
CCAGUCUAGGGGCGGAGGUGUUCACAGCAGGUUUUCAAAUGGAGGGGCUUCCUCUGUGAUGGUCGCUGGACAGGGUCUGGGAGGUUCAGGGGCUUCUUCGGUGACUCCUCAAGUAUCAAACGCUGUGGACUUGCUCCAACAGGCAAUUACAACAUCAAUUGGCAACGGUAGCGUUGUCUGGCCUGUUCCAGAUAGUACCAUGGAACAGAUUGUUUCCUUGCUGCAGCAGUCUGUGGGGAAGAGCCAGCACAUUCAGAACUCGAGGGGGAAUCCAGCAGGUCCGAAUAUUGGGUCCCAACACAGUUCAAAGUUGGAGACCAUCAAAGAAUUGUCUACUCCAACCCACUUGGAUGACAAGGUGGGUUCUUCUGUGAUUUCAAGUUCAAAAGAGAAAGUGCCGUUUUGUUUCAGGUGCAAAAAUAAAGGUCAUCAGUUGAGUGACUGUAAUAUUGAGCUAUUUUGUGAAAUUUGUGAUGUCAAAACUCACUUAACUUCGAAAUGUCCGGUGGUUCGUGCCUGCAAAACUUUUGCAAUACCUUGCGGGUAUGCGGUGGAGGGAUUGGGGUUUUACUUUAUACCCCAACCCAUUCCAGUAAAGCAGAGGCAAGGUGGCUGCAAUGGUACAGUGUCUAUUGUGGAGGGUUCCAUGAAUGAAGAGCAGAUUUUGAAUGAGCUUAAAAGGUUGGUGGCUGCUGAUUGGGACUGGUGUGUGAAGUGUGUGGGGAACAAUGUGUUCUCGACGUGUUUCCCUUCCAGGGGUGAACUUCACCGUAUGAUCGAGUGGGGAACUGUUCAUACAAAAUUUGGUGCACAGAUGCUUGUCAAGGAAGAGGGGUUUGGAGAGGAAAUAAAAUAUGAGAUGCCUAAGGCUUGGGUGCAGUUCACUGGUUUACCUAAGGAACUUAGAGAGUACUCGGUAAUCUGGGCGGUUGGUUCUAUGCUAGGCAUCUCAAAAGAGGUGGAUAUGUUGUUUACUCGGAAGUUUGACAGGGCAAGGCUGAAGGUGGCCGUGCUUGACCCGAAUUUGAUUCCGCAAGUAGUUGAUGUGGUAAUUGGAGACUACUUAUAUGAACUGAAAUUCAGGGUGGAGUCAGCAGCUGAAGGUGACCAGCCUUUGCCGAUGGAUAUGGAU